rnacentral:rRNA from 1 species
AGUGAACGCUGGCGGUAGGCCUAACACAUGCAAGCCGAACGGCAGCACAGUAAGAGCUUGCUCUUACGGGUGGCGAGUGGCGGACGGGUGAGGAAUACAUCGGAAUCUACUUUUUCGUGGGGGAUAACGUAGGGAAACUUACGCUAAUACCGCAUACGACCUACGGGUGAAAGCAGGGGAUCUUCGGACCUUGCGCGAUUGAAUGAGCCGAUGUCGGAUUAGCUAGUUGGCGGGGUAAAGGCCCACCAAGGCGACGAUCCGUAGCUGGUCUGAGAGGAUGAUCAGCCACACUGGAACUGAGACACGGUCCAGACUCCUACGGGAGGCAGCAGUGGGGAAUAUUGGACAAUGGGCGCAAGCCUGAUCCAGCCAUACCGCGUGGGUGAAGAAGGCCUUCGGGUUGUAAAGCCCUUUUGCUGGGAAAGAAAAGCAGCAGGUUAAUACCCCGCUGUUCUGACGGUACCCAAAGAAUAAGCACCGGCUAACUUCGUG